GCCGCGUUGGCGUAGUGGUAGCGCGUCUCACUUGUAUCGCCCUUUCGGCCCGCCUGGGCCGUUGUGAGACAUGAGAAGGUCACUCGUUCAAUCCGGGUACGUGGCA
rfam:Hebeloma cylindrosporum h7 unplaced genomic scaffold scaffold_15, whole genome shotgun sequence.